rnacentral:rRNA from 1 species
UUCCCAGACUCCUACGGGAGGCAGCAGUGGGGAAUAUUGCACAAUGGGCGAAAGCCUGAUGCAGCAACGCCGCGUGAAGGAAGACGGUUUUCGGAUUGUAAACUUCUAUCAAUAGGGAAGAAAGAAAUGACGGUACCUAAAUAAGAAGCCCCGGCUAACUACGUGCCAGCAGCCGCGGUAAUACGUAGGGAGCAAGCGUUGUCCGGAAUUACUGGGCGUAAAGGGCGCGUAGGUGGGCGCUUAAGUCAGGUGUGAAAACUCCGGGCUCAACCUGGAGACUGCACUUGAAACUGGGUGUCUUGAGGGCAGGAGAGGAAAGUGGAAUUCCUAGUGUAGCGGUGAAAUGCGUAGAUAUUAGGAGGAACACCAGUGGCGAAGGCGACUUUCUGGACUGUACCUGACGCUGAGGCGCGAAAGCGUGGGUAGCGAACGGGAUUAGAUACCCCAGUA